CCUACGGGUGGCAGCAGUGAGGAAUAUUGGUCAAUGGACGAGAGUCUGAACCAGCCAAGUAGCGUGAAGGAUGACUGCCCUAUGGGUUGUAAACUUCUUUUAUAAAGGAAUAAAACGAGGCACGUGUGCCUUUUUGCAUGUACUUUAUGAAUAAGGAUCGGCUAACUCCGUGCCAGCAGCCGCGGUAAUACGGAGGAUCCGAGCGUUAUCCGGAUUUAUUGGGUUUAAAGGGAGCGUAGAUGGGUUGUUAAGUCAGUUGUGAAAGUUUGCGGCUCAACCGUAAAAUUGCAAUUGAUACUGGCAGUCGUGAGUACAGUUGAGGUAAGCGGAAUUCGUGGUGUAGCGGUGAAAUGCUUAGAUAUCACGAAUAACCCCGAUUGCGAAGGCAGCUUACUAAACUGUGACUGACAUUGAUGCUCGAAAGUGUGGGUAUCAAACAGGAUUAGAUACCCCGGUAGUC
rnacentral:rRNA from 1 species